rnacentral:rRNA from 1 species
AUACGGAGGGUGCGAGCGUUAAUCGGAAUUACUGGGCGUAAAGGGUGCGUAGGCGGCUUGAUAAGUCGGAUGUGAAAGCCCCGGGCUUAACCUGGGAAUUGCAUUCGAUACUGUCAGGCUAGAGUAUGUCAGAGGUUGGUGGAAUUCCUGGUGUAGCGGUGAAAUGCGUAGAUAUCAGGAGGAACACCAGUGGCGAAGGCGGCUAACUGGGACAAUACUGACGCUGAGGCACGAAAGCGUGGGGAGCAAACAGGAUUAGAAACCCCAGUAGUCC